AAUAAUUUUAAUAUACGCCAAUAAAGAAAGAAGACCGUAAGUGUUAGAGAAGAGAGAGAGUCUGCAUCUUGUGUCUUGCUCCGCCGUCAGGGGAAAGAAUAUGGAAGCAGCCACUGCUGUUCAGAGGUUUCACUACUCACCAUCAUCAUGGAUUGAUUGGAGAAAUUUUGAAGGGAAGCCUCGUGGUUCUCUACGUUACUCUCAGCGAAUCAAAGAGAAUAAAAGGCUUAGAGUUAUUGCUUUAUCUCACUUGCAACCUGACAAAAGAAGAGAUCUUCGACAACUAUCAGUUUCGGACAAGAACUCCUCAGCAUUGUUGGAAACUGGAGAUCUUCUUCAUUCUCCAUUUGAUGAAGAACUGGUUUUGAAGUAUUUGCAGAGAAAAGCUGAAGAGGUUAAACCGUAUUUGAAUGGACGAUCUAUGUAUCUUGUUGGAAUGAUGGGUUCUGGGAAGACGACAGUAGGAAAGAUCAUGGCAAAAGCACUUGGCUAUACAUUCUCUGAUUGUGACACAAUGAUCGAGGAGGCGAUGAAUGGAACUUCUGUGGCUGAGAUAUUUGAGCAUUUCGGUGAGAGUGUCUUCAGAGAGAAAGAGACCGAGACACUAAAGAAUCUCUCUUUGAUGUACCACCAAGUUGUUGUGUCAACAGGUGGUGGUGCGGUUAUAAGACCCAUUAAUUGGAAGUAUAUGCAUAAAGGUAUUAGCAUUUGGCUUGAUGUUCCUUUAGAAGCCUUAGCGCAAAGGAUUGCUGCUGUAGGAACAAACUCAAGACCAUUGUUACAUGAUGAUGAGUCAGGAGGAGACCCGUACACAGUGGCUUUCAACCGUCUUUCAACGAUUUGGGAAACACGUGGUGAAGCAUACACUAACGCAAGCGCGAGAGUCUCCUUGGAGAAUAUAACAUCAAAGCACGGGUAUAGAAACGUCUCAGACCUUACACCAACUGAAAUCGCCGUUGAGGCCUUUGAGCAAGUUCAGUGCUUUCUCAACAAAGGAGACAAGUAUUGAUAGACCCGGUGGCCUAUAGUUCAAGCGCUUGAGCUUGUUUGUGCCUAGUUUUGACUGUUACUACGAGAAUUUUCUGCAAGUCAUUUAAAGAUUCAAGUCGGUGAUCAAAGGGUAGCAGCAAGAGCAUGUUUAAUUGUACAUGACUCGGGGACUUUAAGCACUGUGUCACUCCACUCGACCUUGCCCCAAAUCUCUUCAUCGUUGUGCCUUUCAAGCGCAAUCACUGUGCACCAAAUCAUCUUGUCACCAGUGGAAGCCACACCCCUAUCCCACAAAACAGCCAUCUUACCACCAAAAUCCGCC